GGGUGAUGCUGUGUGCAAGGCAGAUACAAGAUGGUUUUUCCAUAAGAGGAAGUGAUCAUGGCAACCAUGACCUUCUCUGACCUUCUCUCUUCCAAGAGGCUGUUGGGAAGGUGGGAUGACCUAGGAUUGACCUUGGACUUGACAUCACAGAAGCCAUUUCAACCUUCACAGGGUUUCCUCAGCAGUGCCCCGGAGCAGGGACCGCGCCAGCCAGCAGAAACAGCUAGUUGUUGUCUGCAGUGAAGAAUAAUUGGAAGCAUGGUGCCUGUUUCUUUUCCUGUGGGAGGAAGUCACAGCAUCUACUUCUGAAUCUGUGCUUGCCUUGAGGAAAAACGGCAUGGCACAGGAAUGUGGACGCUUUCAACCAGAGGAUUCUGUACGACGGUGUCGGCACACAGUAAGUGCCGAGCACCAUAGAAACGGUUUUUCCG
rnacentral:lncRNA from 1 species